UACUCUGUGCAAAGAACAGAGGCAAGCCUCCAGCCAGGAGCUCAUGAAAUCAUGAACUGAGGCCUCAGUGCAAUAGCUCAUGAGGAACUGAAUUAUUUCAACAGCCAGUUCUGGAAGUUGGAAGUACAAGAUCAGAUUGCCAGCAUCAUCAGCUUGGUACGGGAACAACAGAGAGCCAGACAAUUCUGCCAUUCACUGGGACACACGAGAUGGAACUCAACAGAAGUCAAGAGAAAACUAAAUUCAAAUAUUUACAGAGGCAAUAAAAAAGCCUAGGACUCAGACACAAUAGCAAUGAACAGAAGAACUAACAGUUCAAAACUGAGGGCUAAGCACAGUGGCUCAGGACCGUAAUCCCAGCACUUUGGAAGGCAGGAGCAUUGCUUGAGGCCAGGAGUUCAUGAACAGCCUGAGCAACAAAGUGAGACCCCAUCUCUACAAAAAAUAGAAAAAAAAAAUUAACCAAAUGUGGCGGCAUCCACCUGUAGCCUCAGCUACUCAAGUGGCUGAGCUGGAGGGAUCACUUGAGCCCAAAAGGUUGAGUCUGCAGUGAGCCAUAAUCAUGCCACUGCAAUCCAGCCUGGGCAAAACAGUGAGACUCUAACUCAAAAAGUAAUUAUAAGAGAGCCUAUGUGCCUGUCUUUGUGCAUUUGGUGGAGGGGGACAGAGAGAGAAACGUAAAAGGAAAACUCACAGGUGGCAGAUUCCAAUUUGGGUGCCUGUAUAGCCACAGCUGUACUACCAUUAAGAAAAGAAGUCAACUUACAGAGAA